ensembl:miRNA
UAGGUUGGUGCAAAAGUGAUUGCGGUUUUUGUCAUUAAAUGGCAAAAACUGCAAUUACUUUUGCACCAACCAAA